CCUACGGGCGGCAGCAGUGGGGAAUAUUGGACAAUGGGGGGAACCCUGAUCCAGCCAUGCCGCGUGUGUGAAGAAGGCCCUCGGGUUGUAAAGCACUUUCAGUGAGGAAGAACGCCUGGUGGUUAAUACCCAUCAGGAAAGACAUCACUCACAGAAGAAGCACCGGCUAACUCCGUGCCAGCAGCCGCGGUAAUACGGAGGGUGCGAGCGUUAAUCGGAAUUACUGGGCGUAAAGCGCGCGUAGGUGGCUUGAUAAGCCGGUUGUGAAAGCCCCGGGCUCAACCUGGGAACGGCAUCCGGAACUGGCAAGCUAGAGUGCAGGAGAGGAAGGUAGAAUUCCCGGUGUAGCGGUGAAAUGCGUAGAGAUCGGGAGGAAUACCAGUGGCGAAGGCGGCCUUCUGGACUGACACUGACACUGAGGUGCGAAAGCGUGGGUAGCAAACAGGAUUAGAUACCCCAGUAGUC
rnacentral:rRNA from 1 species